UUAAAGUAGUAAGGGCGCAGGGUGGAUGCCUUGGCACUAAGAGCCGAUGAAAGACGUGAUAAGCUGCGAAAAGCUUCGGGGAGGAGCACAUAUCCAAUGAUCCGGAGAUAUCUGAAUGGGGAAACCCGGCAGAGGAAACCUCUGUCAGCGUGCAGUGAAUACAUAGCUGUACGUGGGGAACCCGGGGAACUGAAACAUCUAAGUACCCGGAGGAAGAGAAAGAAAAUUUAUCGAUUUCCAAAGUAGCGGCGAGCGAAAUGGAAAGAGCCCAAACCGUGAUGCGUGCAUCGCGGGGUUCGGACUGCGUUGUGGCAGACGUAAGAUAGGAGAACGGACUGGGAAGUCCGGCCGGAGAGAGUGAAAGCCUCGUAUCCGAAAUCCCAAGUCGCCUAGCAGGAUCCAGAGUAGGACGAGACACGAGAAACCUUGUCUGAACGAGCGGGGACCACCCCGUAAGGCUAAAUACUUCUUAGUGACCGAUAGCGCAUAGUACUGUGAAGGAAAGGUGAAAAGUACCCCGGGAGGGGAGUGAAAGAGAACCUGAAACCCUGUGUCUACAAGCUGUGGGACCUCUUUAUAUGAGGGACUGCGUACUUUUUGUAGAACGGUCCGGCGAGUUGUGCGUACUGGCGAGGUUAAGGACUUAAGGUCUGGAGCCGAAGUGAAAGCAAGCGUUAAGAGCGCGUCAAGUCAGUGAGUGCAGACCCGAAACCGGGUGACCUAUCCAUGUCCAGGUUGAAGCUUCCGUAAGAGGAAGUGGAGGACCGAACCCACAUCCGUUGAAAAGGGUGGGGAUGAGGUGUGGAUAGCGGAGAAAUUCCAAUCGAACCCGGAGAUAGCUGGUUCUCCUCGAAAUAGCUUUAGGGCUAGCCUCAUGAGAGUCUUAUGGAGGUAGAGCACUGAAUUGCCUAGGGGGCGUCAAAGCUUACCAAAGCAUAUCAAACUCCGAAUGCCAUCAAGAUGAUUCAUGGGAGUCAGACCAUACGAGAUAAGUUGGAUGGUCAAAAGGGAAAGAGCCCAGACCUACAGCUAAGGUCCCAAAGUGCGUGUUAAGUGGAAAAGGAUGUGGGGAUUCUAAGACAACUAGGACGUUGGCUUAGAAGCAGCCAUUCAUUGAAAGAGUGCGUAAUAGCUCACUAGUCGAGAGUCCCUGCGCCGAAAAUGUCCGGGGCUGAAACACGACACCGAAGCUUAGGAAUGUGUAAACAUUGGUAGAGGAGCAUUGCUGGCGGGAUGAAGCCAUACCGUAAGGAGUGGUGGACUGCCAGGAAGAGAGAAUGCCGGAAUGAGUAGCGAGAUGAAGGUGAGAAUCCUUCAGGCCGAAUAUCUAAGGUUUCCAGAGUAAAGCUGAUCUGCUCUGGGUAAGUCGGGACCUAAGGCGAGGUCGAAAGACGUAGUCGAUGGAUAACAGGUUGAAAUUCCUGUACCGCAUAUAAACAGAACUGUGGGGACACAGACAGGGAAUGGAAUCCGGGAGUGGAAAUCCCGGUGCAAGCGAGGUAGGAGUGCUGUUGGCAAAUCCGCAGCACGAUCUGAAGACGUGACGCGUACCGAACAUAAGUAGGGAAGUCCAGGCCCCUGGCUGUCAAGAAAAGCCGCUAUUGUUUUAUAUGUGCCCGUACCGCAAACCGACACAGGUGGAUGAGGAGAGAAUCCUAAGGCCGACGGGAGAAGUAUUGUUAAGGAACUCGGCAAAAUGACUCCGUAACUUCGGGAGAAGGAGUGCCAUGAGAGUGGCCGCAGAGAAAUGGCCCAAGCAACUGUUUAGCAAAAACACAGGUCUAUGCAAAACCGCAAGGUGAAGUAUAUGGGCUGACGCCUGCCCGGUGCUGGAAGGUUAAGGGGAGAGGUUAGCGCAAGCGAAGCUUUGAACUUAAGCCCCAGUAAACGGCGGCCGUAACUAUAACGGUCCUAAGGUAGCGAAAUUCCUUGUCGGGUAAGUUCCGACCC
rnacentral:rRNA from 1 species